GACGAACGCUGGCGGCGUGCCUAAUACAUGCAAGUCGAACGCUGAAGGAGGAGCUUGCUUCUCUGGAUGAGUUGCGAACGGGUGAGUAACGCGUAGGUAACCUGCCUGGUAGCGGGGGAUAACUAUUGGAAACGAUAGCUAAUACCGCAUAAUAGUAGAUGUUGCAUGACAUUUGCUUAAAAGGUGCAAUUGCAUCACUACCAGAUGGACCUGCGUUGUAUUAGCUAGUUGGUGGGGUAACGGCUCACCAAGGCGACGAUACAUAGCCGACCUGAGAGGGUGAUCGGCCACACUGGGAAUGAGAAACGGCCCAGACUCCUACGGGAGGAAGCAGUAGGGAAUCUUCGGCAAGGGACGGAAGGCUGACCGAGCAACGCCGCGGGAGGGAAGAAGGGUUUCGGAUCGUAAAGCUCUGUUGUAAGAGAAGAACGAGUGUGAGAGUGGAAAGUUCACACUGUGACGGUAUCUUACCAGAAAGGGACGGCUAACUACGUG
rnacentral:rRNA from 1 species